UCAGGCUUUCUCAGGAACUUUGGACCCAGAUAGGUCAGAGGACACAUAAAUAAGACUUUUCCUGGCUGCAUGCUGAAAUUGUCAUGGAAAGAAGGCCUGGAUUAUGAGUCAGGUUGCUAAGCAAACAGAAGCAGUGUCAAUAGGAGAAUGUAAAAGGAAUGCAUAUGGGAGGGCAGGUUCUUCAUAAAAAUCCUCCCUCAAUGAUGCAUUAAUACAACACAUCAGAG
rnacentral:lncRNA from 1 species